AUUACCCAAUCCUGACUCAGGGAGGUAGUGACAAGAAAUAUCAAUAUAAGACUUUUAUGUCUUGUAAUUGGGAUGAGCGAAACAUAAACCGCUUCUCGAGUAUCAAUUGGAGGGCAAGUCUGGUGCCAGCAGCCGCGGUAAUUCCAGCUCCAAUAGCGUAUAUUAAAAUUGUUGCGGUUAAAACGCUCGUAGUUGGAUAUCUGCUAAGGGGUUCCGGUCCUUCCCAGUGAAGAAUACGCGGAACUCUUCUUGGCAUUUAUUCAGGGAAGGUGUUUGCACUUUGUUGUGUGUCACGUAAUCUGAAUUUUUACUUUGAGGAAAUGAGAGUGUUUCAAGCAGGCUUUCGCCGUGAAUAUGAUAGCAUGGAAUAAUAGCACAGGACCCCUUUCCAAAGCUGUUGGUUUUUGGAACGAGGUAAUCAGAAUAAAGAUAGUUGGGGGUAUUCGUAUUUAACUGUCAGAGGUGAAAUUCUUGGAUUUUUUAAAGACGAACUAUUGCGAAGGCAUCUGCCCAGGAUGUUUUUAUUGAUCAAGAACGAAAGUUAGGGGAUCGAAGACGAUCAGAUACCGUCCUAGUCUUAACCUUAAACUAUGUCGGCUGGAGAUUGGAGUUGUCAGAAUUGUGACAUCUUCAGCAUCCUGAGAGAAAUCGAAGUCUUUGGGUUCCGGGGGGAGUAUGGUCGCAAGGCUGAAACUUAAAGGAAUUGACGGAAGGGCACCACCAGGAGUGGAGCCUGCGGCUUAAUUUGACUCAACACGGGAAAACUCACCAGGUCCAGACA
rnacentral:rRNA from 1 species